rnacentral:lncRNA from 1 species
GAAACAUGCCCCUUGCUCACCAUGUUGCGAGUGCAGAGGAGAGAAGAGCUGCGGCCCUUCGGGGAUCCCAGACCUGGAAGCUCCCUGAGCCAGGGCUGUGACUCCCUCUUAGGGGCCCUGUGGUCCUUGGCAUCACCAAGCUUCUGAAUGCCACUGCGUUUCCCAGUGCCAGCUGUUGAAGCUGCUUGUGGUGUACCUGGUCCAGCCACAGCUUUGCCGAGAGCUGGUGCCUAUUCCAGCACCUGGAGCUGCCCACCCCACUGCAGCAGCCGGCAUGUCUACUGUGUAGCGGCCAGACCCCAUGCUCGCUCACACACUCCUCAUCGCGCCACGCCUGACUCAGCCUUUGCAGGCAUAGGAUCUAGACAGGUAGCGCAAGCCAAGCACAGGAUCCAGACAGGUGGCGCGAGCCAAGCGCAGGAUCCAGACAGGUGGCGCGAGCCAAGCGCAGGAUCCAGGCAGGUGGCGCGAGCCAAGCGCAGGAUCCAGGCAGGUGGCGCGAGCCAAGCGCAGGAUCCAGGCAGGUGGCGCGAGCCAAGCGCAGGGUCCAGACAGGUGGCAUGAGCCAAGCACAACAUGCCAGGCUGAGUGGACAGAAUGAGUCUAGAGGGCCUGAGCAAAACUCGGGCAAAGGCGCCACAGGCCACAGAGGUUUCUGGCUGGAAAAGCAACACCCCAAGGAUCCUGAGACAACUGGGGGUAAAUGGAAUAAAGAAAAGAACUCAGGAUUUGGAUCCCUAAUGACCCAGACUUUAUACCAUAAGUCCUUCAAUUGCUACCUAUGUCCUUGGGCAAAUAGCAAAUUUUCUAUGCUUGUUUCUUCACAAUGAGCAGGUGUCAGUCCAUUCUUGCAUUGCUAUAAAGAAAUACCUGAGACUGGGUAAUUAUAAGAAAAUAGGUUUAUUUGGCUUACAGCUCUGCAGGCUGUACAGGAAACAGUCCUGGCAUUUGCUUCUGGGGAAGGCUUUGGAAGCUUCCAGUCAUUGUGGAACAUGGAGUGGAGCAGGCAUCUCAUGCGGCAGAAAUGGCAGAAAAAUGGAGG